rnacentral:lncRNA from 1 species
AUGGCUGUGGUGGCCGAAGCGCCAGCAUGCUCUCACUUCCAUGUGGUUGAGCUUGUUGUGACGUACCUAGCAAAUGGUUCUGAGGAGGAAAUGAAGCACCAUUUAACUGCAUGUUGCCAUUUAGAUUCAUGCGCUGAGGCUGCAUGGUAUAUCUGCUACUGAGGCUCUCAUUAUACCCUGCUAACAGAGAAAUAUUCAUGUUAUGAAGUCAUAAAUUGGUAGAACUAUAAAAAUCCAAGGUCAGAUUCAUGUGCUGAGGCUGCAUGGUAUAUCUGCUACUGAGGCUCUCAUUAUACCCUGUUAACAGAGAAAUAUUCAUGUUAUGAAGAGGGUGUUUAGAUUGACUUAAAAAGCUGGUCAAACUUGCUUAAAAGCACAUUUUGGCUUGUUUGAGUGUUUGGCAAUCCUAAAAACAGCUUUUAAGUCAAGUACUUUUAAGCUGAAUUAAGUCAAAAGCAACAAGUUUGGAAUGUCCAACUUAUUGCUUUUUAGCUUAAAAGCUUUUCAUGUUUGACCAAAUAAUUGACCUUAUUAUCCCUCUUUAUUUUAUAAAUUACAAAAUACCCUUACUUUAUUAAUUAAGUCAUAACGUCAUUUUUCCCCGUCUUUCAUUUUGACGUAACAGAUAUCUUUCUUCAUAUUAUUAUAAUAAAUAAGGUUGCUUUAUUUUUCUGUGAUAAGUAAUUAAUAAAACCCUUAAUUACCUAAUGUUAGACAAAUGUGAGAACUAGCAUAGAAAAAAAAAGAAAGAAACGAUGCAAAGGCUGAGGCAUUAGUUUUAUUGACAUUAAUUUAUACUUCUAUUACAUUUUUUUCAUUUCACUCUAGAAACAAAUAGUUUUAUUUAGUAGUUGAAUAUUCAGAACAAAAGCAU